GACGAACGCUGGCGGCGUGCCUAACACAUGCAAGUCGAGCGGAGUCGAUCGACGGAAGCCUUCGGGCGGAAGAUGGUUGACUUAGCGGCGGAUGGGUGAGUAACGCGUGGGCAACCUGCCUCGAAGACCGGGAUAACAGCCCGAAAGGGCUGCUAAUACCGGAUGUGGUCAAAGAUCCGCAUGGAUUUUUGAUUAAAGGGGAAACCCGUUUCGAGAUGGGCCCGACGUCCUAUCAGCUAGUUGGUGAGGUAAAAGCUCACCAAGGCGACGACGGGUAGCCGGCCUGAGAGGGUGACCGGCCACACUGGAACUGAGACACGGUCCAGACUCCUACGGGAGGCAGCAGUAGGGAAUAUUGGGCAAUGGGCGAAAGCCUGACCCAGCCAUGCCGCGUGAAGGAAGACGGCCUUAUGGGUUGUAAACUUCUUUACUACGCGAAUAGAGGUUAUACGAGAUACUAAUAGGAAGGUAGUGUAGUAAAAAGCACCGGCUAAACUCCGUGCCAGCAGCCGCGGUAAGAUCACG
rnacentral:rRNA from 1 species